rnacentral:rRNA from 1 species
CCUACGGGCGGCAGCAGUGAGGAAUAUUGGUCAAUGGGCGGGAGCCUGAACCAGUCAAGUCGCGUGAGGGAAGACGGUCCUAUGGAUUGUAAACCUCUUUAGGCGGGGAGCAAUGCCGGGCACGUGUGCCCGGAGGGAGAGUACCCGCAGAAUAAGCAUCGGCUAACUCCGUGCCAGCAGCCGCGGUAAUACGGAGGAUGCGAGCGUUAUCCGGAUUGAUUGGGUUUAAAGGGUGCGUAGGCGGAUUGUUAAGUCAGCGGUAAAAUGUCCGGGCUCAACCCGGGCCGGCCGUUGAAACUGGGGAUCUUGAGUGGGCGAGAAGAAUGCGGAAUGCGUGGUGUAGCGGUGAAAUGCAUAGAUAUCACGCAGAACUCCGAUUGCGAAGGCAGCAUACCGGCGCCCGACUGACGCUGAGGCACGAAAGCGUGGGGAUCGAACAGGAUUAGAUACCCGAGUAGUC